UAGAGUUUGAUCCUGGCUCAGGAUGAACGCUAGCUACAGGCUUAACACAUGCAAGUCGAGGGGCAGCAUGUCGGUUGCUUGCAACCGAUGAUGGCGACCGGCGCACGGGUGAGUAACGCGUAUCCAACCUACCCUUGUCCAUCGGAUAACCCGUCGAAAGGCGGCCUAACACGAUAUGCGGUUCACAGCAGGCAUCUAACGUGAACGAAAUGUGAAGGAGAAGGAUGGGGAUGCGUCUGAUUAGCUUGUUGGCGGGGUAACGGCCCACCAAGGCGACGAUCAGUAGGGGUUCUGAGAGGAAGGUCCCCCACAUUGGAACUGAGACACGGUCCAAACUCCUACGGGAGGCAGCAGUGAGGAAUAUUGGUCAAUGGACGAGAGUCUGAACCAGCCAAGUAGCGUGCAGGAUGACGGCCCUAUGGGUUGUAAACUGCUUUUAUAGGGGGAUAAAGUGUGCCACGUGUGGCAUAUUGCAGGUACCCUAUGAAUAAGGACCGGCUAAUUCCGUGCCAGCAGCCGCGGUAAUACGGAAGGUCCGGGCGUUAUCCGGAUUUAUUGGGUUUAAAGGGAGCGUAGGCUGUUUGGUAAGCGUGUUGUGAAAUGUCGGGGCUCAACCUGGGCAUUGCAGCGCGAACUGCCAGACUUGAGUGCGCAGGAAGUAGGCGGAAUUCGUCGUGUAGCGGUGAAAUGCUUAGAUAUGACGAAGAACUCCGAUUGCGAAGGCAGCUCACUGGAGCGCAACUGACGCUGAAGCUCGAAAGUGCGGGUAUCGAACAGGAUUAGAUACCCUGGUAGUCCGCACGGUAAACGAUGGAUGCCCGCUGUUGGUCUGAAUAGGUCAGCGGCCAAGCGAAAGCAUUAAGCAUCCCACCUGGGGAGUACGCCGGCAACGGUGAAA
rnacentral:rRNA from 1 species